rnacentral:rRNA from 1 species
UACGGAGGAUCCGAGCGUUAUCCGGAUUUAUUGGGUUUAAAGGGUGCGUAGGUGGAUUGGUAAGUCAGUGGUGAAAGUUUGCAGCUUAACUGUAAAAUUGCCGUUGAAACUGCCGGUCUUGAGUGCAAAUGAGGUAGGCGGAAUGCGUCGUGUAGCGGUGAAAUGCUUAGAUAUGACGCAGAACUCCGAUUGCGAAGGCAGCUUACUGGGAUGCAACUGACGCUGAGGCACGAAAGCGUGGGUAUCAAACAGGAUUAGAUACCCGU